AAAGAAUGGAGGCAUGGACUCUGGCUCCAAAUUCUUCCCCUCAUUCUCCCCUCAGCAACCCCCACUGCCAUUGACUUCUUUCUUUUUCAUUUUGUUCUGUUUUUGUUUAGGAAGAAAACGAAGAACAGAGGGAGGGAGACGAAGAACAGAGAGGGGGAGAUAGAGAGAGUUGGGGGAAGAAAAAGAGGAAAACGAGAGCCUGCCAUUGACGACCUUCUCGAGCUUCGUCAAGCUCAUCGGAGCUUCUCCUUUUCUAUCUCACGAGCUUCUAAUUGAUUCCCUAGCUUCUAGCCACUGCCGAUUUCAUGUUCCUCUUGCUUGUUCUUGCUGGUUUGGCUUCGUUCUCAUGUCGAGGAGUGAUCAGGUGAGAGAGAGACAGAGAGGGACAGUAAGAGAGAGAGAGAGAGAACAAAGGAAGAAACGAAGGAGGAGAAGGCUGGACUUCGGGAUCGGUUGAAGUAAAGGGCUGGUUAAUCUUAUCGGGGUAUAGAAAAGGGAAGGUGAUAUAAAAAGGAGCAGGUCAAGGGUGGAGAAACCGAAUAGAGAGAUGAACGAGGCAGAGAAGAUUGAGGGUAUAUUGAAAUAAGGAAAUCAGAGAACACUGCAAGGAAGACCUAACCUCGCGUUCUUGUCCCGUUAUUGACGGGUUUUGGGUAUGUAUUGCUGAUUAGAUUUCUCUUUUACUUAGCCCUAUUGUGUUAUAGCAAAUCAGGAAGUGGUAAUAUGCUUAGGUGCGGAGAUGAAGUUGCUUUAAUAGUUGAUUUUAGGAUCUCUCUGAGUUUUGUUAAGUGAUUUAGCUUCCCUUUGCUGCUAUAGCUUGGGUAAUGUUAGUUAUGUUAUUAAGUUGGAGGUUGUUGAUUGACGAUUUAAUUAAGCAUGAAAAUGCUUUAUUGGGC